GUUGCUGGAACCUCUGUGAAAGCAGAGGAAGCUGGAAAGGAUGUAAUACAGUAGCUGCUGAUGAUCAUCUUGCCACCAUAGGGCUCUUUCAGAUCUUCAAGAAUGUUUAAGCAUACAAAGAAGCCCCGAGACCACAAGGGUGAGAACUACCAUCCUCCCCGCUCUCCGGAUGCUCCCACAGCCUGGGCUCCCCAGUGCAGAGCCAGCACCAAGCAGGAGAUGCAGUACAGUGUGCCCAGGACCAUGGCAGCCAUCACAUAUGCCCUCCACUGGGGAACAAGAAGUGCGUUAGGCUGAUGUACUCCACUCCACCUCCAUACGUGUUUGUGCAGUGACACCAGCCUGGAGGGCCUUCUAUCGCCAUCUCCCUCCUCUGUAAAUCCUACCCACUCUUUGAGUCUUGGCCCAAGGGCUGCUGUCUCUCUCUCUCUCAAAUGAUUUCUGUGUUCUCAUUUGUCUCUGCCUUCUCUGGGAAUCUUUGGUGCCACAGGGUAAUCUCCUGUGUGUCACUCCUGACUUCCUAAUUCAUCUGCCAUCUCCUUCCUUGAAAGCGGAAAUAGUGACUUCUUCUGCUUCCCUACAUUGCCUAAUAACAAUAACAACUACCAUAAUAAUACUUGCUAACAAUUAUUAAACAGUCACCAUUAUAAUAUUAGCUCAUUUACUCCUUGCAACAGCUCUCUAAGGUGGGCUCUAUGAUAUUAGCCUCAUUUUACAGAUGAGAGGACUGAGGCUCAGAAAGGUUAAAGAACUGCCCAAGCCACACAGUUCAGAAAUGGAGGCCAGCAUAUAAGCCAGUUCAACUCUGAUUGGCGACUGCUAGAAAUCAAUGGAGUGAUAUGCACUUAGCACUGUGCCGGGGGGAUAGAAAGUGCUCUACUACCCAGUAAGCAUUUAUUGAGCACCUACUAUGUGUCAGGCACUGCUAGGUGCUGUGGGUUCAGCUGUGAGCCAAGCAAAGUCCCUUCUCUCCUCGUGCUUGUAGGCUGUUCCUGCCUAAGCCUUCCCUCUGCUGUUCCCUCAGCUUGAAAUGUUUUCCCCAGGUUCCCACAUGGCUUGCUCCAUCACCUCCUUUAGGUCUCUGCUCAAAUAUCACCUUAUCAGUGAGGCUUCCUCUGACCUCACCACCUAAAAUCUCAACUUGCUCUGCCCUUCCCUGCAGCACAUCCUGCCCGAUGCCUGCAUGUGCUAUGGGCCUCACUCACUCAUGGGUAAUAUCUGUUUCCCCUGCAGGACGUCAGCUCUGUGAGGGUGGAAGAUGUGUCUGUCUUUUCCCUGCUAUAGCCUCUGGCACAGCAUAGCACCUGGUAUACAGUAGAUGCUCAGAAACCAUGUGCCAAAUGGAUGAAUGAGCAUGGUUGGUGGUGAAAAUUGUUAUGAGGAAGAAUGAAGGUAGUCAAAGGGGAUGGGGUCUGGGGGUCAUCUUCCAGAGAGGGCGUAAGAUUGGAGACCUGAUUAGAGCGUGUGGUGGGGGGGAGUGGGGUCGGGGGGAAUGUGUCAUGUAAAGAACUGGGAGAAGUGUCUUCCAGGCAGAGGAAAAGCAUGUGCAAAGGCCCUGUGGUGGGAGCAUGCAAGGCAUGUCUGAGAAACAGAAAAGAGGCUGGUGUAAGGGAGAAGGGUGGGAGGUGAGGGAGAAGGGCCGGGGGCCAGCUUGUCCAGGUCUUUCAGACCAUGCUGAGGGAUCUGACGUUUCCUGAGGGUGAUGGGGAGCCAUGGAGGAGUCUACAGACAUUAGCUGUUAUUACUAUGUUUCAAGGGCCCACAUGGGCCAGGCCCAGGUAGGCCGCCUUACACACACACACUCCCAUUUGAUCUGUGUGUCCAUGCUGCAGGCUUUCCUGUCCCCUUUUCACAGACAGGGAAGCAGAAGCCAGCAGGCCCCUCUUUACUGUGUUCUCCAGAGAGUUGGUGAGCAGGAAGUUGCUGUUGCCAUCAAGGGAGCCAUUGUCCCAUGAGCCAUUGAACUCCACGGAGCCCUAGUUUAUGCUGCUGUGGAAGUGGCUCCCCAGCUUUCCCUAGAUGUGGGCUCCUACUAGCAUGCUGACAGCUUCCAUACCUAUGCCUGCGGAGGCGACUUAGGAGACCAGCGGACUUACUUCCUGGUCCCAGGAUGAAGUAAAGAAGCCAGCAGAUGGUGCCAAAGGCAACCUCUAUUUACCCUUGCUGCUCAUUAGCAUAAGACACUCCCACCAGUGCCGUGACAGUUUACAAAUGCCAUGGCAACGAGCUGCAAGUUACCACCCCUUUCCAUGGCAACAACUCGGCAUUUGUUCUUUUCUAGAGCAUUCUGAAUAACAAACCUCUUAAUUUGCAUGUAAUUAAAAACUUUUGGGUCUGGUAAAGAUCUUAAAUGUUUUUAGCACACACACACACACAAAUGUAAGUGGGUGAGGUGACAGAUGUGUUAACUAACACGAUUGUGGCACUCAUUUCACAAUGUAUAUGUAUAUCAAAUCAGCAUGUUGCACACCAUAAAUUUACACAAUUUUGUCAAUCAUACCUCAAGAAAGCUGGGAAAACAGAAUCAUACCACAAAUUCACUGUUUUAGAACAUGCAAUUAAGCAGUUUUAGUAUAUUUACAGAACUGUGCAACCAUUAUCACUACUAAUUCUAGCAUAUUUUAAUCAUCCCAAAAAGAAACCCUGUACCCAUUAGUAGUUACUCCCCAAUCCUCUCUCCCUCUAGUGUGUGGCAACAAGUUGUAGCAUGUAUCACUACUUCAUUUCUUUUUAUGGCCAAAUAACAUUCCAUUGUGUGGUUACACCACAUUUUGCUUAUCCAUUUAUCAACUGAUGCACAUUUGGAUUGUUUCUACCUUUUGGCUAUUGGGAACAGUGCUGCUGUGAACAGCCUGUGUACGUUUUUGUCUGAACACUUGUUUUCAAUUCCUUGGUCAUAUACCUAGGAGUAGAAUUGCUGGAUCCUAUGGUAACUCUGUUAUCAUAACUUUUUGAGGAACUGCCAAACUGUUUUCCAAAAGGGCUGCACCAUUUUACAUUCCCACUUUCAGUGCAGGAGGGUCCUAAUUUCUCUACAUUUUCACCAACACUUGUUGUCUAUCUUUUUUAUCAUAGCUAUCCUAAUGAGCGCAAAGUGGUGUCUCCAUGUGGUUUUCCUUUGCAUUUAAAGAUUACUAAUGAAUCAGUCUGGCGUGGUGGUGUGCGCCUGUAGUCCCAGCUACUUGGGAAGCUGAGGCACAAGAAUCACUGGAACCUGGGAGGCGGAGGUUGCAGUGAGCUGAGAUCUUGCCACUGCACUCCAGCCUGGGCAACAGAGCAAGACUCUGUCUAAAAAAAAAGAAAAGGAAUUUAGUACUACUAAUAAGCACAUUUUCAUGCUGAUUUGUUUGUUUUAAAGAUGCCAAAGAUCUAGAUGGGUUUUUAUGUGUGAAAUUUUCUGAUUUUAAAAUGUUGGUCCCAGAUCAUGGGGUGUUCAGAGCAGCAGGCUCCCAUGCUGGAGGGCCACACCACCCCCUGGCCAGGCCUGCUCAGCAUUGGCUUAUGUUUGGCCCAUGUUUGCCAACCACCUCCUUCAGUUCCCUGUUGUUCCCUCCAUGUCAGUCACUUUGAAUUUCUCCCAUUCCUCACACAUAGCAAGUUCUUUUCCACCCCAGGGCCUCUGCACUUGCUGUUCUUUCUGCCAAGCACACUUUCUCCCCAAAUCUCUGCUUGGUUGGUUUUUCAUGUUGCAGGUCUCAGCUCAAAUGUCAACUCCUCAGGGUUGCGAUCCCUGGCUACCCUAACAUAGCCCCAAAAUUUGCUGCUAGUAACUGUCCCAUUUCUAUUUCAUUGUCUUCAGAGAACUAUUGGCAUCUGAAAUUACCUUGCUGUGUAUUUAUUUACAGCUGUCCUUAGUUAUACACAGAGGAUUAUUUCCAGGACCUCUUGUAUAUACACAAAUUCACAUGUACUCAAGUCCUUUAGUGUUUAUUGGAGUCCACGGAUACUAUAUUUCUUUCUUUCCUCUUUUUUUUUUUUUUAAGAGAGAGGGUCUUGCUUUGUUGCCCAGGCUAGAGUGCAGUGGCAUGAUCACAGCUCACUGCAGCCUUGAACUCCUGGAUUCAAGCGAUCCUCCCACCUCAUCCAUCCAAGUAGCUGGGAUUACAGACAUGAGCCACAGUGCCUGACUCAGAUACUUUAUUUUUUAUUUACAUUUGGUUGAAAUAAAUUUGCCUAUAAGUGGAAUCACAUAGUUCAAACACGUGUUGUUUAAGGGUCAACUGUGUUCAUUUACUAUCUAUCCCACUAAGAUAUAAACUGUAAGAGCAGAAAUCAUGUCUCUUAUUCCCUGCUAUAACUUCCGUACCCUGCACCUAGCAGGUGCUUAAUACAUGUUUGAUGAAUGAGUAAAUAAGCUACAAAUGAGGAAAAUGAGGCUUUGAGAUGUUAAGUCACUUGCCCAAGGUCCCACAGUUAAUUAGUGGAAGAGCCACAACAGGAAAGGUUUUCUAUGUGCAGAUCCUGCAGCCCAGGAAGGAGAGACUUGCCUGAGUCUAAUAGCAAGUCAGCAAGAAAACAAAGGCCGCCAAGGUCUUUCCAUGGGCUGCUGAAUGAGGUUGGCACUGGGUGCCUGUCAAGCUCCAGGGGCCUGUCUGCAGUCGGUCUCAGCUGAGGGAGACCCUCCACCUCCAGGGACUCAGUCAACAAGACCUGGCUCCUCUAGAAGCCUCCAUAGAUGAAGGGCCCCCUGGAAAUCCCCAGAGAGAUUUCUGGAGGCCAGAGGUAGGAGGACAAUUCAGCAUCCAGAGGAGAAAGGAUUUUCUAACAGGCAGAGCAGCAGUGAUGGAAGGACAGGUGGCAAACUCCCCAUUGCCUGAGGGAGAUAAGCGGAGAUGAGUAUCAGGAGGGGACCAGCUCCACUCAGCUCUGCCACAUGUUACACUCAGGAAAGAGGCUGGGGGAGCACUGGCAAAACUCAGGAGAGGAAGAGGCACCAGUGCCCAGUCUAGUGCACGUGACAUUUGACUGAAUCAGUGGGACUGGUGGGAGCAAUGAUAAUGCAGCUUUAUUUUGACAUCCCAGUGUCCACACACCCUGAUGGGUGAACUGGAAUCUUCACAGGCACUGAGAUGGAAUCUAGGGCAGGUCCCAGUGACUCUGGUAAUUGAAAGUCUUCCUGUCACUUUUUCCCCUCAAAGAGCUUCAAUUCAUCUAUUCAUAAAAAUAAAUUUCUGCAAUGAUAAAAAUGUACCAGAAGCAAGUCAAAAGACAAAAAACAGAAUAGGAAAAAAAAUUGUGAUUCAUAUCUCAAAGUGUAUGUCUCCCUGAUUCUGAGACAUUAGUUUCCUAUACAUAAGUGAACAGAGGAUAUAAAUAGAGGUUCACAGAAAAGAGGAUGCAAUGGCUUCUGACUGCACGAAAAGAUACUCAACAUCCUUCAUAAUCAGGGAAAUGUUAAGGCAAACUAUGAUGGGGUCAGAUCUAGUUCUGGGCAAGAUGGAGUAAUAAGCAUGUUCCACCCCACCUCUCCUGCUGAAGGCAGCUAUAAAACCUGGACAGGAUGCACAGGCCAGCUAUGUGAGGACUCUGAAAAGUAAAUGGUAGAAGGUAACUUGAAGAAGAUCAGAAAUCAAAGUACCAUCCUGAGUUUACCUUUUUGCCCCCUUCUUGUUUCCUGGCUAGAACAAAAUGUAGCCUGGAAGUGGGGACUGGGACCACACAGGAAAACUCCAGUAGAAGCCCUCUAGUGCUGGCUUAAGGACCAGGAAUUUCUAAUGCCACUCUCCUGCCCUGAGUUUCUUUCUUCUUCCUGCUCUCCUAUGCCCCAGCCACCAGGGAGUCCCUGGCAGGAAUGACAGAGGCCUCAAAGCAUUGGGAACCUGCAGGAGCUGAAACUCAGAGGGAGGAGAAUGUUCUUCAUGCAUCAGCAGAGUUGUGAUCCCAAAAGGAAGGGAGCAAACCCCUGUUGCUUUUUCUUCUUUGUGCUCCCACCACCUGGCCCUGCCAUGAAGAGUGCAGCACAGCGGGAUGCUGCAGCUUUAGCUUUCUGGCUGGGAGCGUGAAAAGGGAGCCCCAGGAAACAGGAAAGUACCAGGGAGAUUGUAAAAAGGGAGGAGCUUGUGAAAGCAACCCCAUUACAUUGUUUACGAACUCCUUGAGGCACUCUCCAAUUGCACAUGUGUGGAUCUGAUUGUAAUCACCAUAUAAAGGCUCUGAGAAAUGUGCUAACAGGCCACAUGCUCAGGUCCCAGACUCCCUGCUGGGUAGUGCACACAGGGUACCAGACAGUCAGCAAAGGCUUUGCAGACUGAGCUGACAUUGGAACCACCACACACAGAAGGUUGGGACUUGAGGCCUGAACCUGACCAGGUUGACUGCCAGCCAAAACACAAGAUAUAAAUGUUUCCCAUAGAACUUAAAUAAGACCCAGAGCCUCAAAAUAUAAUACAGAAAACGUUCAGGUUACAAUCCCAAACUACUCAGCUUGUGAAGAUCCAGGAAAAUGUCAACUCUCCUGGGAGAAGACAUCAACAGAUGCCCACUCCUAGAUGACACAGAUGUUGGGGUUAUCUGAUACCUUUUGAAGAAAUUACUACAAAAAUACUCAAAUGAGUAAGGGUAGAUAUUCUCUUUUUCUUGAGAUAAAAUUCAAGUAACAGGCCGGGCGCGGUGGCUCACGCCUGUUAUCCCAGCACUUUGGGAGGCCGAGGCGGGUGGAUCAUGAGGUCAGGAGUUCAAGACCAGCCUGGCCAAGAUAGUGAAACCCCGUCUCUACUAAAAAUACAAAAAAUUAGCCGGGCGCAGUGGCAGGUGCCUGUAAUCCCAGCUACUUGGGAGGCUGAGGCAGGAGAAUCGCUUGAACUUGGAGGGUGGAGGUUGCAGUGAGCCAAGAUCGCACCACUGCACUCUAGCCUGGGUGACAGAGUGAGACUCCGUCACACACACACAAAAAAAUCAAGUAACAUAAAAUUAAUCAUUUUAACAGGGCGUUUAGUAUGUUCAAUGUUGUGUAACCAGUACCUCUAUCUAGUUCUAAAUAUUUUCGUCAACCCAAAAUAAAGCCUAGUAUCCAUUAAGCAGUACUUCCCAUUGUCCCUUCCACACAGCACCCAGCAACCAUCAAUCAGCUUUCUCUCUCUAUGGAUUUACCUAUUCUGGAUAUUUUAUAUAACAUGUAGCUGUCAUAGUAUGUGACUCUUGUGUCUGAGUUUUCACUUAGCAUAAUGGUUUUGAGGUUACCUAGAGUUAGCCAAACUGCAGGUAACCUCAAAAACAUUGUGCUAAGGUAGGGUCUUCCAGACCACCAAAUUUGACUCCCAAGACUCUGACACAAAUUUCAAGUUCAAGGGGUUCCUAAAACCACCCUCAGGUUGUAUAAUUCACCAGAAAGACUCGCUGAAACCUAUUAUAUGUACGUCUAUGUUUAUUACAACAAAAAUAUACAAAUUAGAACCAGCCAGAGGAAGAGAUGCAUAGGAUGGAGUUGGGAGGGGUCUAAAUGGGGAGUGUCCGGUGUCCUCUCCCCAGGGUCAUGGACAGUUACUUCCUCGUGACCAUGAUGUGUGAUAACAUGCACAGAGUAUUGCCAACCAGGGAAGCUCACCUGAACUUUGGUAUCUAGAGUUUUUAAUGAGGCUUCACUACAUGGGCAUGAUUGAUUAAACUCAAUCUUCAGCCCACUCCACCCCAACCCUGGAGGUUGGGUUGAAAGCUCUCACAGUAAAUUCUAUGUUUGGUUUUUCUGGUGUGGCCAGCCCCUCCACCCUAAGACUAUCAGGUGUGAGUGGCGUUAUGAAUAAUCUCAUCAACAUAAACUAUCAGGUGUGGUCCCAGUGACUCAACAGGAAUAAAGAGGACACUCCUGUCAUGUUGGAAAUUCUAGACAUUUCUUUGAGUGAGGCCAAAUUCCUUACAACAUGGAAGUUUAUCCAUUAUAGCAUUUAUCAAUACUUCAUUACUUUUUUGUUUCUGAAUAAUCCAUUUUAUGUGUACACGAUUUGUUUAUUCACUUGUUUAUUGCUGGACAUUUGGGUUGUUUCCACCUUUGGGGUAUUUUGAAUAAUGCUGCUAUUAAACAUGGAUGUACAAGUAUCUGAGUACCUGUUUUCAAUUCUUUUGAAUAUAUAUCUGGGAUGUUUAACUUUAUGCAUUAAUUUGACUGGAUUAUGGGAUACCCAGAUCUAUGGUAAAACGUUAUUUCAGAGUGUGUCUGUGAGGGUGUUUUCUAGAUUAGUAUUUGAAUCAGUGGAUGGAGUAAAGAAGAUCAUCCUCCCCAGUGUGGGCAGACAUCAUGGAUGAACUUCGGUGUUGAAGGCCCAUUAAAAUAGAACAAAAAUGUGGAGGAAGUGCAAAUUCUCUCUCUUUUUCAGCUGGAUCACCUUCUCCUGCUCUCAGACAAUGGAGCUCUUGGUUCUCAGGCUUUUGGACUCUAAGGCUUAUAUCAAUAGCCUCCCACCCCCAGAUUCUCAGACCUUAGGCCUUGGAGUGGGAGUUACACCACUGGCUUCCCUGAUUCUCAGGCUCUCAGACUUCAACUGAAUUACAUCACCAUCUUUCCUGGUUCUUCAGCUUGUAAAUAGUAUGUCAUGGGACUUCUUGGCCUCUGUAAUUGCAUGAAACAAUUCCCAUAAUAAAUCUUCUCUAUAUGUAUUGCAUUGGUUCUGUUUCUCUGGAGAACUCUGACUAAUAUAAUUCCUAAGAGUGGAAUUUCUGGGUCAUAUGUAAUUCUAUGUUUAGCUUUUUGAGGAGCCACCAAAUUGUUUUCCAC
rnacentral:lncRNA from 1 species